rnacentral:rRNA from 1 species
UGGGGAAUAUUGCACAAUGGGCGCAAGCCUGAUGCAGCAAUGCCGCGUGAGUGAAGACGGCCUUAGGGUUGUAAAACUCUUUCGCUAGGGAAGAUAAUGACGGUACCUAGUAAAGAAGUCCCGGCUAACUCCGUGCCAGCAGCCGCGGUAAUACGGAGGGGACUAGCGUUGUUCGGAAUUACUGGGCGUAAAGCGCGCGUAGGCGGACUGAUCAGUCAGGGGUGAAAUCCCGGGGCUCAACCCCGGAACUGCCUUUGAUACUGUCAGUCUUGAGUCCGGAAGAGGCGAGUGGAAUACCGAGUGUAGAGGUGAAAUUCGUAGAUAUUCGGUGGAACACCAGUGGCGAAGGCGACUCGCUGGUCCGGUACUGACGCUGAGGUGCGAAAGUGUGGGGAGCAAACAGGAUUAGAUACCCUGGUAGUCCACGCCGUAAACGAUGUCUGCUAGUCGUUGGGGGGCGUAGCCCUUCAGUGACGCCGCUAACGCAUUAAGCAGACCGCCUGGGA